rnacentral:sRNA from 1 species
UUGCUAUCUGCGAUAUGGAAGAUUCGAACCUGCCGCAGGUACGGGUCUCACGCAGUGAGACAACGGAGCCGUUUACGGCGACGGCCCGAAGGGCGAGCGAAGCGAGUCAUCCUGCACGACCCACCA